rnacentral:rRNA from 1 species
UACGUAGGGUGCGAGCGUUAAUCGGAAUUACUGGGCGUAAAGCGUGCGUAGGCGGUCCGCGAAGUCUGAUGUGAAAGCCGGCUCAACCUGGAACUGCAUUGGAACUAACGGCUCGAGUGUGGCAGAGUGGAAUUCCACGUGUAGCAGUGAAUGCGUAGAGAUGUGGAGGAACACCGAUGGCGAAGGCAGUGCUAACACUGACGCUCAGGCACGAAAGCGUGAGCAAACAGG